UAUGAGGUAUCGUCUAUUUCAAACUAUUACAACCUCAGAGACUCAGAAUUCCACAGGGUAAGACAAGCAGAUGCAGACCCAUUUUCAAUCCAAAGUUUGCCCUUGUCCAAAGGUUCCUCAGAGAUGGCUUUCAAAAGUCUGUGUGAAGUGCCAGCCUCAAAAAUGUAGAAGCCUGUUGAGAACACUGCCAGACAACUCAGAUAUUUUAGAUUUUUUUUUUUUUUGGUCAAAAAAAAAAAGAACGGCUCUUCUUGGGUCCUGUGGCAAUUGGCUUUGAAAUCUGAGCACAGUUUUAUUCUUCAUUUGAGAACACCAGUGGGUUCUUCCAAAUACAAUUUAUUGUCUCUUAUUUAAGGGCUCUUGGUUCUGUUGAAUAGAAGAUUAAAUUUCUAAUAGAAGAUUUUUUUCAAUUAUGUGAAUGGAAGCAUGAAUGAAUGCUAUCAAGCGUAUGUAUAAUAAAGGAUGUGUCUCUCCAUAGGAGAAAAUACAGGAAGAUUUUUGGUGCAAAACUCCUUUUUAAAAUAAGACAUGACUAUUAGGUGCAGAGAGCUCUGAAAGGACAACUUACUAGAGGCUGUCAGUAUUGGACGCCACAGAGGAUAUGGCACCACCAGAAUGGAUAUCAGUCUUCAAGAGGGAUAAAGAACCAGGUUGAGCUCUUCGGCUUCCAAAUCUCCCAAAGGCAUAUUUACCCCCAAUAACCAGAGACAAAGAGUGAAAUCCGCGCAUCUGCUGCCCAAGCUGAGGUCUCACCAGGAAAUGAGAUGUCAGCCUCCCUCAGUUGCAAAUAUUCCUCAUCUCCGAUCCCAUGAGGUGUAGGCAGAGAAAUUUCCACAUAGUUGGUGCUCAGUAAACAUGUGUUCAAAGGAGAGAAGACAGAAAGGAGGGAAAUUUUGCAGAUCUCUUCAAUGACUGGCCAGUAGAAGAUGCCUGUAUUCCUCUACGUGCUACUGCAUUCAAACUGUUGAGAUAUGCUGUUUUGGUUGAAAUAUGUGAAGAAAAUCCAGCUUCACACAGAAAUAUACUUGGGCAGUGGAAGAUUAUUAUAAUAGAUCUUUAUAAAAUUGUGGAUAGUCUUUGACACUACACCAAAACUUGCUUUGUUGAAGUAAAAUUAUUUUAAGUGCACAAUUUGAUAUGUUUUGACAAUGUGUGUACACACCAGCGAAACCAUCACCACAAUCAAGGAGAUGAACAAAUUAAGAAGUGUCCUGAUCACCCUUGGUAAUCCAUGCCUCCCCUCCACUCCUUUCCCAGGCAGCCAGUAAUCUGCAAGUAUAUACUUUUGUUCCAA